UACGUAGGGGGCAAGCGUUGUCCGGAAUCAUUGGGCGUAAAGCGCGUGUAGGCGGCUGGCUAAGUCCGCUCUGAAAGCCCCGGGGCUCAACCCCGGGAGGCGGGUGGAUACUGGUCAGCUCGAGUCCGGAAGAGGAGUGUGGAAUUCCUGGUGUAGCGGUGAAAUGCGCAGAUAUCAGGAGGAACACCAAUGGCGAAGGCAGCACUCUGGGACGGUACUGACGCUGAGACGCGAAAAGCGUGGGGAGCAAACAGG
rnacentral:rRNA from 1 species